GUAGUCCACGCCCUAAACGAUGUCUACUAGUUGUCGGGUCUUAAUUGACUUGGUAACGCAGCUAACGCGUGAAGUAGACCGCCUGGGGAGUACGGUCGCAAGAUUAAAACUCAAAGGAAUUGACGGGGACCCGCACAAGCGGUGGAUGAUGUGGAUUAAUUCGAUGCAACGCGAAAAACCUUACCUACCCUUGACAUGGAUGGAAUCCCGGAGAGAUUUGGGAGUGCUCGAAAGAGAACCAUCACACAGGUGCUGCAUGGCUGUCGUCAGCUCGUGUCGUGAGAUGUUGGGUUAAGUCCCGCAACGAGCGCAACCCUUGUCAUUAGUUGCUACGAAAGGGCACUCUAAUGAGACUGCCGGUGACAAACCGGAUUAGAUACCC
rnacentral:rRNA from 1 species